AUGGCUUCAGUAACUGUAUCCAAAGAACUUUCUUGUCCCGUGUGCUGUGAAAUCUUCAAGAAUCCUGUUCUUUUAUCAUGCAGUCACAGUGUGUGUAAAGAGUGUCUUCAACAGUUCUGGAGAACCAAGACAACUCAGGAGUGUCCUGUUUGUAGGACAAGAUCAUCAAAAGAUGAACCUCCUCUUAAUCUAGUAUUGAAAAACCUGUGUGAGUUGUUCCUGAAGGAGAGAAAUGCGACAUCAGGAUCUGAGGAGAUCUGCAGUUUACACAGUGAGAAACUCAAACUCUUUUGUCUGGAGGACAAACAGCCUGCUUGUGUAGUGUGUGCUACUUCACAACAACACGACAAUCACAAAUUCAGACCCAUCAGUGAAGUGGUUUCUUCAUAUAAGGAGGAGCUCAAUACAGCACUGAAAUAUUUACAGGAGAAACUGAAACACAAUGAAGAAAAGAAAGCAGAGUUUGAGAAAACAGUUCAACACAUCAAGUUUCAAGCUGAUCACACAGAGCGUCAGAUUAAACAUGAGUUUGAGAAGCUUCAUCAGUUUCUCCGAGAUGAAGAAGAAGCUGCAAUCACUGCACUGAGGGAGGAAGAGGAGCAGAAGAAGCAGAUGAUGAAGGAGAAGCUGGAGGAGAUGAACACACACAUCUCAGCUCUUUCACACACGAUCAAAGACACGGAGGAGAUGCUGAAAGCCAAUGACGUCUGCUUUCUAAAGGAGUUUCCAGUCUCGAUGGAAAGAGUCCAGAUCUCACAGCCGGAUCCACAGACGCCUUCUGGAGCUUUGAUUCAUGUGUGUCGCUACUUGGGGAACCUGCCGUUCAGAGUCUGGAAGAAGAUGCAGGACAUCGUCCACUACACUCCUGUCAUUCUGGAUCCAAACACUGCAAAUCCACGUCUCGUCCUGUCUGAUGAUCUGACCAGUGUGAGGUUCAACAACAAAAAUCAACCUGUUCCUGAUAAUCCAGAAAGAUUUAACUAUUAUUGGUGUGUUCUGGCUUCAGAGGGUUUUACCUCAGGGAAACACUGCUGGGAUGUGGAGGUUAAAAAGUAUUGUUACUGGUGGAGUCUUGGAGUAACUACAGCAUCAAAGGACAGGAAAAGAAGUGAUUUCUUUAACACUGGUGUCUGGAGUGUGCAGUGUGGUACUACUGUAGGCUCUGGCGUUACUGUUAAUCAGGAUCUUGAGCGUGUGAGAGUUGAUCUAGACUGUGACAGAGGAAUAGUGUCUUUCUCUGAUCCUGUAACAAACACACAUCUACACACAUUCACAACCACCUUCACUGAAUCUGUCUUUCCUUUCUUUAAUGGUUCAGCCUCUCUGAGGAUCUUACCGUUCAGUAGUCAGUAAAAGUUACACCUGUAGGUCUGGAUCUUCUUUCUUCAUGUUUUCAAUAUUUAAUCCACAUUAAACCCGGCUCACACUGUGCAAUGUUUAAUAAUCCUAUAGAAUCCUGUCAAUCCUUCAUAAACGUGACUCUUGUGUCACACUGUAAUAUCUCAUAAUGUCAUAAUGUCAGACUGAACAACAACAAACACACACAUGCACACAAACACACACAUGCAAGAAAACUCAUGCAGAGACUGACAUAAUCCAUCUUUGACACUUCCACUAACCUGCGUUCUGACAUUAUAUCUCACAACAACCUUAAAGGGGUGGUCCAGAAUGUAAUUUUAAGGCUUGGUUGUGUUUAUAAGAUGCAAAGUGUGUGCUUAUGGUUCACUUGAAGGAAAUAGUGUUAUUUUUUCAUAUAUGUCACUUUGAUUAUACACAGCUACUCAGCUAACAUGAAAACGACUGUCAUGUUUCCUAGUUCCCCUAAAAGACCCACCCUCAAGUGACUCUGAUUGGUCAUCGUCAUAAUGUGCUGCUAUUGGCGGAUCGGCUCCACAUCACGCCCGUAAA